rnacentral:lncRNA from 1 species
UUGGAUAGCUCAUUAUGUCUGUUAGGAAAAGGAAAAAUCAUGUUAUGAAAAGAAAACAAUCUCCAUGAUUUUGUGGGUCCCCAAGAUUACGACUGUAGAAUCCUCAAGAUAUGGGUGCAUAGUUGUAUUUAUAAUUUAUAUAAUUUCUUUCCUAUAAUUGUAUUAUUUCUUUCCUAUAUAAGCUCCUUGAAAAGCCUCUGUAAAGGCCUUUCAUUAUAAAUACAAGAAUAGUGAAAUAUAGAUUUUCUAUUCAUUCUCUCACAUGGUACCAGAGCGAGGUUGAUUUGUGCUGGUUUGUUCUUUUUUUUAUUUAUUGUUUCUUUUUCCUUUCAUUGGUUGUUAUUAUGGAAACUCAAAUGUCUCAUAGCCCAUUCAAGUCAUAUUAUAUGAGAACAAUUAUGUUUUAUUAACACAGGCUAUGUGCAGUUUUCACAAGGGAUAAAAAAAUUGGCGUUAUGUUACUGGAGAUAUUGUAAAGCCUGUUGACAAGGAAGAUGAACCUAAUGUUUAAACAGAAAAAUUUACAACCUGUAGAGAUCAACAAAGGCUAAUUAAGUUCCUCAUGGCCUUACAUAGUAGUUUUGGGCCCACUCGUGCUUCCUUAGUCUAUCAGAACACAUUGUCCAACUUGGAUUCUACCAUAAAUAAACUUAUCUUAGAAGAAACAUGCCACUUUGCCAUCAGGACACACUAUAAAUAUUGUUCUUGCUACUUUUCAGUUUAAUCAGAGUAAUUUUUCAUUUUUCAAUUCUUAGAAAAAUGUAACUAUUUCCAUUUGCAUGGUCAUCUUGUAUUAUAUUACCCAACAAGACAUUGUAGAAUUUGUUAUAAAAUUAGUUCUGGAUGUUUUGACAAAGAUUGUCCUUGUAAAGGGAAAUAAUCUCAGGGUGCUUAUUUUCAAAGUCACCAACCAAAUUUUGCUGCUAUUGCUAAUGACCAUCAGGGUAACACUGAUUAGUCUCUUUCCUCUUCAUCAAAGUCCUUACAUGAUUUAGCAUCUCUCUUAUAAUCACUUGUCUCUUAAUCUGGUAACAUUUUUGCAUCUUCAAUUUCGUCAGGUGCAUCUCCUUGUUAUUUUGAUUAUGCUUGUUGUAAUCACAUAAUUGUAGAUUUGAGUAUUUUUUCCUCAACAAUAAUUUCCCCUACUUUACUUGAUAUCCAAACUACUGAUAGUUCCUUUAUGAAAAUUAGUCACCUAGGGCAUGCUUCACUUCCCAAUCUUUCAUUAUCAUACACAUUUCUUAUUCUUAAAUUUACUUUAAACCUCUUAUCUGUUGGCCAAUUAUGUGACCUUGGUGUUAAUGUUUUAUUUAUUAUCUCUGUUUAUUAUGUACAGGAUUCGCAAAUAGGCCAGACAUUUGGGAUAAGGUGUGAAGUUGAGUGUUUGUUUGAACUCAUUAGUCUUUACCUCCCUGAAGACACUUCACCAUUUUAAUCUGCAGCCUCUACCUCUCCAGUCUCAAUUAGGACAUGCCUGUCAUAGUCGUUUACAUUUGUUAGGAUCUAAUGGUCACUUAGGUACUGUUUACAAUAAAUAAUUUGAUUGUAAAUCUUGUCACUUGGGCAAACAAACUACUUUGUCUUUUAAUAAUAUUGAUUUAGUUUUUUUUACCACUAUUAAAAAAAUGACUUUCACUGAUACUAAGUUAUUGAUACUAAAUAAAACAAAAGUAUCAUUAUUUGAUGAGCUGAGCAACUUUUAGUGCCUUUAACAUAUUAAUGCUAGUGGUUAUUGAUAUUAUAAUAUCAUAGAUUGAUACUAAGAUAUAUUUUUUAUUAUUAUUCUAAAUGGCAUAGUUUUACUCUUAAAAUUAGGGUAUCUUAAAUUCAACACUUGUUAAAAAUUCCUAGCCUUUUAAUGAAACAAAACUCUUCCUUUUUCAUCUUCCUUCUCUCCCAAAUCCUUCCUACUCAUUUCAACAAACCCUAAAUUGAAAUAAAAUUAAUAAACUAGCCUUUUAAGUCUUAACAAACAAAAAUGCUUAGUCUCUUAACAAAAUAAAAUCAUCCUCCACACUAGCACUUUUCAUUUUAUAUUUUUCUUUAGUUUUGAUCCUCCAGCCACCAUCAGAGACAAUCAAAAAAUGAAGAAAAUCAAACAAGAGGAGAAGGAAUAAAAAGAAGAAGAGCAAAUCAAAGAAAAUGGCUUCAUAAAUUUAGACAAUAACCUCUUAUUCAAGGUGUUGAAACAUGCGGACGUCAGGACUUUUGCACGGGCAGCCUGCAUCAACAAGAUAUGGCAUAAAGUGGCUCAAGAUGAGUGACUUCCACUUCGCUAGCAUUGGGUGUGCUACCCAACAUCUCAAAUCAGUAGUCCUAGCUCUCGGUGGCUCCCGUCGCCUUCACUUCCUCUACCUCCACCAGCUUCUCAUGCUGCCACCUGAUGCUCUGCCUUCUUUCUCCAAGCGGAAUCCUCUCCCAUGUGUGAUAGGCCUGAAGACCCCGGCUUACUGGUGGAAAGACAAGGUUCAUCUCUCCUUGUCUCUACUUUUCAUUUUGUUAAUAUGAGAUGAUAAUGAUAAGGGAUUUAACCAAGCAAUAAUUUAUUUUAGGGAUGAUGAUGAUGAUACGACAUCAGAACUUUUGCACGGGCGGCCCACAUCAACAAGCUAAGAUACAAGGUGGCUCAAGAUGAGUGCCUUCCACAUUACUAGCAUUAGGUGUGCUACCCAACAGCUCAGAUCAGUGGUCCUGGCUCUCGGUGGCUCCCGUCGCCUUCACUCCCUUUACCUCUACCAACUUCCCAUGUUGUCUCCUGACACUCCGCCUUCUUUCUCCAAGUGGAAUCCUCUCCCAUGUGUGAUGGGCCCGAAGACCCGAGCCUACUAUUGGAGAGACAAGGUUC